UGCCAGCAGCCGCGGUAAUACGGAGGGUCCAAGCGUUAUCCGGAAUCAUUGGGUUUAAAGGGUCCGUAGGCGGGCAAUUAAGUCAGUGGUGAAAUCUUGCCGCUUAACGGUAAAAUUGCCAUUGAUACUGAAGUUCUUGAAUGUAGUUGAGGUAGGCGGAAUGUGUUGUGUAGCGGUGAAAUGCAUAGAUAUGACACAGAACGCCAAUUGCGAAGGCAGCUUACUAAGCUACGAUUGACGCUGAGGCACGAAAGCGUGGGGAGCGAACAGGAUUAGAUA
rnacentral:rRNA from 1 species